GAUGAAUGCUGGCGGCGUGCCUAACACAUGCAAGUCGAGCGGCAGCGCGAGUAGUUUACUACUUGGCGGCGAGCGGCGGACGGCUGAGUAACGCGUAGGAACGUGCCCCAAAGUGAGGAAUAACUGCCCGAAAGGGUGGCUAAUGCCGCAUAUGAUCUUCGGAUUAAAGUCUUCGGACGCUUUGGGAGCGGCCUGCGUCGGAUUAGGUAGUUGGUGAGGUAAUGGCUCACCAAGCCGACGAUCCGUAGCUGGUCUGAGAGGAUGAUCAGCCAGACUGGAACUGAGACACGGUCCAGACUCCUACGGGAGGCAGCAGUGGGGAAUAUUGGACAAUGGGCGCAAGCCUGAUCCAGCCAUACCGCGUGGGUGAAGAAGGCCUUCGGGUUGUAAAGAUCUUUCAGCUGGGAAGAUAAUGACGGUACCAGCAGAAGAAGCCCCGGCUAACUCCGUGCCAGCCGCCGCGGUAA
rnacentral:rRNA from 1 species